rnacentral:rRNA from 1 species
UGGGGAAUUUUGGACAAUGGGGGCAACCCUGAUCCAGCCAUGCCGCGUGAGUGAAGAAGGCCUUCGGGUUGUAAAGCUCUUUCGGCCGGGAAAAAAUCGCAUCAGUUAAUACCUGGUGUGGAUGAUGGUACCGGAAUAAGAAGCACCGGCUAACUACGUGCCAGCAGCCGCGGUAAUACGUAGGGUGCGAGCGUUAAUCGGAAUUACUGGGCGUAAAGCGUGCGCAGGCGGUUUGAUAAGACAGGCGUGAAAUCCCCGGGCUCAACCUGGGAACUGCGUUUGUGACUGUCUCACUAGAGUACGGCAGAGGGGGGUGGAAUUCCACGUGUAGCAGUGAAAUGCGUAGAGAUGUGGAGGAACACCAAUGGCGAAGGCAGCCCCCUGGGUCGAUACUGACGCUCAUGCACGAAAGCGUGGGUAGCAAACAGG